GAUCUUACCAUGACUGCAAUUUUAGAGAGACGCGAAAGUACAAGCCUGUGGGGUCGCUUCUGCAACUGGAUAACUAGCACUGAAAAUCGUCUUUACAUCGGAUGGUUCGGUGUUUUGAUGAUCCCUACCUUAUUGACCGCAACUUCUGUAUUAUCGCCUUCAUCGCUUCCCCUCCAGUAGAUAUUGAUGGUAUUCGUGAGCCUGUUUCUGGUUCUUUACUUUAUGGAAACAAUAUUAUCUCUGGUGCUAUUAUCCCUACUUCUGCGGCGAUCGGAUUGCACUUUUACCCAAUUUGGGAAGCUGCAUCUGUUGAUGAGUGGUUAUACAAUGGUGGUCCUUAUGAGCUAAUUGUUCUACACUUCUUACUUGGUGUAGCUUGUUAUAUGGGUCGUGAGUGGGAACUUAGUUUCCGUCUGGGUAUGCGUCCUUGGAUUGCUGUUGCAUAUUCAGCUCCUGUUGCAGCUGCUACUGCUGUUUUCUUGAUUUACCCUAUUGGUCAAGGAAGCUUUUCUGAUGGUAUGCCUUUAGGAAUCUCUGGUACUUUCAACUUUAUGAUUGUAUUCCAGGCAGAGCACAACAUCCUUAGGCAUCCAUUCCACAUGUUAGGUGUAGCUGGUGUAUUCGGCGGUUCCCUAUUCAGUGCUAUGCAUGGUUCCUUGGUAACCUCUAGUUUGAUCAGGGAAACUACUGAAAAUGAAUCUCCUAAUGAGGGUUACAAAUUUGGUCAAGAGGAAGAAACUUAUAAUAUUGUGGCUGCUCAUGGUUAUUUUGGCCAACUAAUCUUCCAAUAUGCUAGUUUCAACAACUCUCGUUCUUUACACUUCUUCUUGGCUGCUUGGCCUGUAGUAGGAAUCUGGUUCACUGCUUUAGGUAUUAGUACUAUGGCUUUCAACCUAAAUGGUUUCAAUUUCAACCAAUCUGUAGUUGAUAGUCAAGGUCGCGUUAUUAAUACUUGGGCUGAUAUCAUCAACCGUGCUAACCUUGGUAUGGAAGUAAUGCACGAACAUAAUGCUCACAACUUCCCUCUAGACUUAGCUGCUGUUGAAGUUCCAUCUAUUAAUGGAUAAGGUUUUUCUGCUAACAUAUAAGAA